AGCUCCACACGGCCACUUGAGAGAGAGGAGCGUCGCCACCAUCGAGGGCUAUGGAGAAGCCGAAACGAUGAGGUUCUUCAUCAUCGUCCUCAUCGUUGUCGCCUCAAUGAUCCUGUUGCUUUUGGGGCUCAUAUUGUUCGGAGUCAUGGAAGUCACCUACUAUGAAUACCCAUCCAAGCCGACGACGUCCAAAUCUCACUGACGGCGGCUGGCAAAGGGCAUCGAUGAACCCUGUUUGUUAUUAAAGUAUAUUGCGC